GGGGAAAGAUGAUCCUGCCAACAGCUGCCAGAGGGCCAGAGCCGUCUGCUGGAGAGCGUUUUCACAUUCACAGUGAAGACAGCCGAGGCCGGGGCAGGGGAAGCAGGGGCCAGGGACCCAGGAGGCUGCUGCCUUGCAAGAGCACGGCGCCGCCUCCGAGGCAGAGGGAGGAGGUCACCCACGUUCGUGGGCAUCCUCUCCUCCCCACCCACUCCUGGGCAGCCUGCCAGCUCCAGGAAGUCGGCUGGAAUCGACAUCCCUGCUGUCUCACAGGAGUCUGGCUCCCAGACACCCUGGGGCUUCAGCUGACUUAGCCCAUCCUGCAGGGGGUGCGGGGGCAGUCCGCCCUAAAGUAGGGUGGCAGGAGCUCCACACAUCAGCUCUCAAAAGAUACCGCAUCCAGUCCUAACAGAGGCGGCUCGGGUGGCGUCAGUGACCAUGACUCCACGGGAGGAGGACUGCAGACCCCCCUUCCCUUCUCUUGCUGCUAGCUGGUCUGAAUCCCUCGCUCUGUGGCUGAGUUCCCCUCUGGUCUGGCUCCAUCAGUGAUGGGACCAAGCUGGCCCCUGGCAGGUCACUGCAUGACUGAGUGCCUCACUGUGCCAGGCAGACAGGGGGUCCUGUGGCUCCUCUCUGUGUCCCCUGCCACACACACACUCCUCCACAUCGGACGUUGUGAGAGCCCAGCACCAGACGGAGCCAGGCGUGGUGUGAGGAGGGGGUCAUGGGAUCCGGGCAGCCAUCGGGGGCAGCCCACCCCAGGACGGGGUGCUGGGCAUUCUCACUUCUCCAGGCACCCAGGCCCCCGGACUCCUAUUCAGGGUUCCAGAAAGACAUUAGGGUGUCCAGGAGGGGCUCACACCCCUGGGCUGUUUCUGAAGGGACUGGUUACGAGGUGAUCUUGGCCGUUGGAGGAGGCUGCGGUUCUUCUCAAGGCCCUGGACGUGGGGCCCGCAAGCCCGAGUGACAACUCGCCUUCAGGCUGGUUCUCCCGCGUUGUCCUCCUGCUCUGACCCUUCAGUCCCAUGGCCAGGAAAGAUGGGCUUCCUAGAAGACCUAGCUAGCUACUGAUUAGCUCUGUGACCUUAAGCUGAGUUAAUAUCUCUUUGAGCCCUCUUUGUAAAUUGUGGGGGGACCUCCUCCUUAGAAUGUGUGCAAAGUGUGGUAGGAACCCCCCUGAGAAUGUGUGAAAAGUGUGGUAGGAAUCCACCUUAGAAUGUGCGCAAAGUGUGGCAAGAAUCUCCCCCUUAGAAAAUGAGGAAAGUGUGGUAGGAACCCCCCCACCUUAGAACGUGUGCAAGGUGUGGUAGGAACCCCCUGCUUAGAAUGUGUACAAAGUGUGGCAGGUACCCCCCCUUAGAACGUGUGCAAAGUGUGGUUGGUACUCCCUUAGAACAUGUGCCAAGUGUGGUGGGAAUCCCCCACUUAGAAUGUGUGCAAAGUGUGGCAGGUACCCCCCUUGGAACAUGUGCAGAGUGUGGCAGGAACCCUCUUAGACUGUGUGCAAAGUGUGGUAGGAGCCCCCCUUAGAUCGUGUGCAAAGUGUGGUAGGUACCGUGACCAGUGACCAGCAAAGAGGCAUGUUGCUCCUUAUGUGCGGGGCUACUACUCCUGAGGAAUUGAGUCCAGGAGGUUCCAGGUAACAGCAAAAGGGAUGUCAGGCAUCACAGAGCACACACCACAGCCGUAAGAAUUUCCUAGGAUUCUGGAGCAGUUCUUAGUUAUUUUAAUAUCACAGCCUGAGGCUGGCAGGCGACAGUCCAUGGGGUCGCAAGAGUGGGACAUGACUUAGCAACGAAACCACGACCUCUUGGAGAAAAGGAAGACUUCUUCAAGGAUGUGGGAGCCUGGGAUAAAGACCCGGGGGCGGGUCGGUUAGGGACCUACGGAGAGGCUGGAGCCGGCUAACCGGGUGGGACGGGGUUCACCUGGAGCCGGCCACACCCGCGCACCCUGUCCCAGCCCCCGGCGGCGGGGCGGAGCCCUGCGGGGUGGUUGGCGGCUCUGUGCGGCGUCACCGAGGCCGGUCGGGAGCGGCGCGCCGCUGGCCAGGCUUUGGGGGAGGGACCCUCCCGCCUUGGCAGGCGCAGCGUCCCCGGGCCUGCCUCCUCGCUGGCUCCGCCGUCCUCCGCUUCCGCCCUGUCCUGGCUCCCGAAGAGCCGGGGAAGUGCUGAGCUCAGCGCUUCUUGCAGCCCCGGGAUCGGGCUCGCCGCCUUUGUGCCCCGCCUGGGGGGACACGAGCCGGUGUGGGGUGCGGCCCGGGUGCCCGCAGCCCUCCGCCCUGAGUGUACAGACGGCUCUUAGAAUCCCCAGCCCCGGCGCCGGCGCCGUAGCGCCGCUAGGCAGUGCGCGGAGGCGGCCCCGCGGGCCCAGGCUGGACCCCUCUGCCGGAGAGCCCGGGCCUUCUCUGCGCCCCUCCCGGCCCUCUGCGUCUUGCCAAGUGGCGGAUAGACCGGGCUCUGUUCUGGGAGGUUCCGGGCCUUUCUCACUGGGGCCCUGCGCCUCCCUCCACCUGCAGGGCUGGGAGAAGGGAUGGGGAGGUUGGGGGAGGGCGGGGAGGGGGAAGGUUUCCGGGGCUGAGGCGGGUGGGGUGGGGGGGGGGGGUGUCUCUGCUCAGAAAUGACCCCCCGCCGUGGGGUCCACAAAAUCCCUUUUGGGUUUGACAAAAACAGGCAGCACACUUUGCCAGUUUGAGUUUUCCGAAUAGUGCAGUAAAUCAUAAUUUAUCGUGA